ensembl:lncRNA
UCUGCUCCAUGGUUCUCUCAAGUAGGAGCUAGGUUGUAUUCCACUCGCUAACUGUUGGAGCCCUCCCAUUCUACCCUUGGUGUCUCUCUUUGGGGAGUCCCUGUCACGGUCCUGAAGGAUGUUCCAGUUUGUGUAACUGAUGUUACGACAGCCUUUGAACACUUGGUUUCUUUUGAGGGGGUACGUCUACAGAACUGUGGUCUUCAGACGACAUAUUAUCCUACCAUGCAUCUCUGGUCACCAAGACCACACCCAGAUCAGUAAGGCAACAAUCAUGCAAUGUGAAUGCAACGUUUGGAGAGUAGCAAGGAAGUGGACAAAAGGUGUAAGCAUCUCAAGUCUGUAGCUCUGUUAAGGGGAGGGGAGAUUAAUGGUUUAUUUUAGCAUGUUGUUUCUCUAAGAAAUACACUUUAUACCUGUAAAUAUCUAGAUAAUUUACAAAAGUGGUCUGAGAUAAGGGAUGUCAGUUAAAGAUAUUCGGGUUAACUGUGGUUACCAAACAUGAUGGUUAUACGUUUAUUGUACAGUUCUAAGCCUUGUUUAUUGUUAGUCAAUUUGUUAGAUGGGGGGAACUGUGUAGUUAAAAUUACUAGUUCUGUACAUAAACCAACAGCAACAAACUACUAGAUCGACUCAAGGUAAGUCUGUUGGCUGUAUUGUGAGAUGAGACGAUGGACCCCAAGUUCUUCAUCCUCGUUCAGCUCAAGGUGAGGUGCUGGUUACGUUACUUAUUUCUGGUUAGGUUUUAGUGUUGGUAUUCCAGUUGGAAUAUCAUUCAUCACUAAUGACUUUACACUAUUGGGUCAUCUGGCAGUACGAGUAGGAUUGGUAUUUGCGUAACCUCAUCACUAACGAGGGUACCCUAUUGGGUCAUCUGGCAGUACGAUCAGGAUUGGCAUUUGCGUAACCUCAUCACUAAUGUGUUUACACUAUCGAGUACUGGCAGUACCCGAUUUCCACCGGUAACCAUCUGGCAAAUUUUUCUUGUGCUUUAGGUAAGACAUAAUUCUAAAACAUAACAUUAGUUGCUGAAUGGUUGUGCGUUUAUCUCCAAAUUUUACCUACGACUUGGCUAACUGCGCUGUACAUAAGUCAACUGACUCUCACUGCGUACCGAACUCCAUUCUUGCGCGCACAUUUUUGAGUCGCGAAUAAGAUCGGAGACAAUUUGGCAUUUUCAUACUACGGAGUACGAUCGUCCCAGCAGCUGAAUGUGGCAAAGUAUAAUUUUAUUAUUAAAUUAACUAUUGAUACUGCUAGUGAGGUAAAUAUCUGGGCUGUAAGUUUCAGUUAAACUCUACCAAAAUGCAUGGAAUUACUUUUUUAUUUUUGUGGUGAAUAGUUGGUUAACCUUAUGAAAUUAAUCAGCAGCUAAAAUCAUGGAACCAUGUCCCACAUGCUUAUACAGUAAUAUGGACUAGAUAACUGUACAGAGCUGAACUUGUAACUGUAGUUUGUGUCCCCAGGUGUCUGCCUCCACACCUCCCUGCUGUCACCACUGGUCUAAGAAGUCCAUAACGGUUAGUGUGGGAGGCGCAGCUCCAGUACUUGCUUUCUUGAACCUGUGUGAUGCACAAGAUGUUGAUCCAACCGCACAGUGAGCUCUGCAGGGUGGUGAGGACGGCUGGAGACGUGGAGGGCGGGGAGCCAGGCUCACCAGUGACGUCCUGGGGCGAGGCGUGGGGCGCCAGGAGGGACCGAGGCUGACCACCCAGCUGCUCUGAAACGCCCAAGGCCAGGCAAAUAGGACCCGUGGUGGAGGGCAGCUAGUGGGGAGCAGUGCUGGAGGACCUGCUGGGAAGGACAUCCCUCGUAGGGGUAAAGACACCCGUCUCUGAGAUGUGAAGGCUGCAGAGGACCCACCAGGAUCCCCUUGGAGGACAACAAAUGGACUACGUGAGGUCUUUGGAAGCACUACAGUUCAGAAGGCCUUCCAAAGAAUGAAGCCCAGCCCCCAUGGCUCAGCUAGUGGCGUUCAGCGGACCAGGAACCCUGAGACCUGAAGGAGGAGCCGUGCAUCUGGAGGAACACCAUGAGGCUACCUGCCAAGUAUUACUCACUUCCACGAGGAGGGGGGCUGGCGGCUGGAGGACCUCCCUACUGGUGGGGCGAGUGACACCCGGCUCUACAGGGAUGACCACGGAGGAGAGAGAGCUGAAGCUGUGCAUCCUGAAGGGGAAUCUGCUACUGAUGGCGCGGUUGAAGUGCUGUGUUCAGUCUGGGAAGGACACACCUGAGCUGUUUCACCCUGAGCUGCUUCACACCUGCAUCUCUAACCAGCUGAAGCCCUUCAGUGACCAACAAAAGGUGCCUCAUCACAGCUUAUCAUCGCUGGCCUGAGGAUUCAUCCCCUACACUCACACAACGUGACUUUGUCACCAUCUGCUGCACGUUGGGAUGCUAACGUGUUCCACCAGGGGUUCCUUCCUUCCCGCAGUGGGAGUGUUCCUUGUCCUUCAAGGAGUUAGGGUUCAGUGUUAGGGACAGAGUUAGGGAGAGAUGGUUGAGUCCUGGCUGGUUUACGAUGAACUGCUCUAACGCUUUGCCAAAAUGUUUCAAUGUGCAAACACUCACAAACACAUACAAUGUAUAAUAAGUGUUUAUGAAAUAAAUUCUGUUAUAAUUCUGCAUGUUUGUGUAGGGGUUUUAUUACCAUUAAACAAUUUUCUCUCACCGCAACCUCCCCACUGCUCUCACCUUAACGUCACCUUAACGUCCCC